rnacentral:rRNA from 1 species
GGUGCAUUAGCUAGUUGGUAAGGUAACGGCUUACCAAGGCGACGAUGCAUAGCCGAGUUGAGAGACUGAUCGGCCACAUUGGGACUGAGACACGGCCCAAACUCCUACGGGAGGCAGCAGUAGGGAAUCUUCCACAAUGGGCGAAAGCCUGAUGGAGCAACGCCGCGUGAGUGAAGAAGGUUUUCGGAUCGUAAAGCUCUGUUGUUGGUGAAGAAGGAUAGAGGUAGUAACUGGCCCCUAUUUGACGGUAAUCAACCAGAAAGUCACGGCUAACUACGUGCCAGCAGCCGCGGUAAUACGUAGGUGGCAAGCGUUGUCCGGAUUUAUUGGGCGUAAAGCGAGCGCAGGCGGAAAGAUAAGUCUGAUGUGAAAGCCCCCGGCUUAACCGAGGAAUUGCAUCGGAAACUGUGUUUCUUGAGUGCAGAAGAGGAGAGUGGAACUCCAUGUGUAGCGGUGGAAUGCGUAGAUAUAUGGAAGAACACCAGUGGCGAAGGCGGCUCUCUGGUCUGUAACUGACGCUGAGGCUCGAAAGCAUGGGUAGCGAACAGGAUUAGAUACCCUGGUAGUCCAUGCCGUAAACGAUGAGUGCUAAGUGUUGGGAGGUUUCCGCCUCUCA